rnacentral:rRNA from 1 species
UGAGGAAUAUUGCCCAAUGGACGCAAGUCUGAGGCAGCAACGCCGCGUGCGCGAUGAAGGCCUUCGGGUUGUAAAGCGCUUUCCUGGGGGAAGAGGAAGGACGGUACCUCAGGGAUAAGUCACGGCUAACUACGCGCCAGCAGCCGCGGUAAUACGUAGGUGGCCAGCGUUAUCCGGAUUUACUGGGCGUAAAGCGCGUGCAGGCGGUUUCGUAAGUCGGACGUGAAAGCUCCUGGCUUAACUGGGAGAGCGCAUUCGAUACUGCGAGGCUUGAGGUCGGGAGAGGGACGUGGAAUUCCCGGUGUAGUGGUGGAAUGCGUAGGUAUCGGGAGGAACACCAGUGGCGAAGGCGGCGUCCUGGCCCGCACCUGACGCUGAGACGCGAAAGCGUGGGUAGCGAACGG